CUAGACUCCUACGGGAGGCAGCAGUGAGGAAUAUUGGUCAAUGGGCGCGAGCCUGAACCAGCCAAGUCGCGUGAGGGAUGACGGCCCUACGGGUUGUAAACCUCUUUUGCCGGGGAGCAACGGGCGCCACGUGUGGCGCCACUGAGAGUACCCGGAGAAAAAGCAUCGGCUAACUCCGUGCCAGCAGCCGCGGUAAUACGGAGGAUGCGAGCGUUAUCCGGAUUUAUUGGGUUUAAAGGGUGCGUAGGCGGUCCUAUAAGCCGGUGGGAAAAGGGGGGGGCUCAACCCCUGCCCGCCAUUGAAACUGGCGCUCUUGAGUGGAAGAGAAGUAUGCGGAAUGCGUGGUGUAGCGGUGAAAUGCAUAGAUAUCACGCAGAACCCCGAUUGCGAAGGCAGCAUGCCGGCUUCCGACUGACGCUGAAGCACGAAAGCGUGGGGAUCGAACAGGAUUAGAUACCCCAGUAC
rnacentral:rRNA from 1 species